rnacentral:pre_miRNA from 1 species
UCUUUCGGAUGAGCAAAUAAAGUGGUUUCUUCAAGUGAAAUCUACUCUGAGUGAAGAUGCUGUGAA